rnacentral:rRNA from 1 species
UACAGAGGUCUCAAGCGUUGUUCGGAUUCAUUGGGCGUAAAGGGUGCGUAGGCGGCGCGGUAAGUCGGGUGUGAAAUCUCGGAGCUUAACUCCGAAACUGCAUUCGAUACUGCCGUGCUUGAGGACUGGAGAGGAGACUGGAAUUUACGGUGUAGCGGUGAAAUGCGUAGAUAUCGUAUGGAAGACCAGUGGCGAAGGCGGGUCUCUGGACAGUUCCUGACGCUGAGGCACGAAGGUCAGGGGAGCAAACGGG